rnacentral:rRNA from 1 species
CCUACGGGAGGCAGCAGUAGGGAAUCUUUCACAAUGGGCGAAAGCCUGAUGGAGCAACGCCGCGUGCAGGAUGAAGGCCUUCGGGUUGUAAACUGCUUUUAUAAGCGAGAAAUAUGAUGGUAACUUAUGAAUAAGGAUCGGCUAACUACGUGCCAGCAGCCGCGGUCGUACGUAGGAUCCGAGCAUUAUCCGGAGUGACUGGGUGUAAAGAGUUGCGUAGGUGGCAUAAUAAGUAGCUAGUGAAAUCUGGUGGCUCAACCAUUCAGACUAUUAGCUAAACUGUUAAGCUCGAGACCGUUAGGGGUAACUGGAAUUUCUAGUGUAGGAGUGAAAUCCGUAGAUAUUAGAAGGAACACCAAUAGCGUAGGCAGGUUGCUGGGACGGUUCUGACACUAAGGCACGAAAGCGUAGGGAGCAAACGGGAUUAGAUACCCGAGUAGUC